UACGUAGGGGGCUAGCGUUGUCCGGAAUCAUUGGGCGUAAAGCGCGUGUAGGCGGUCCGAUAAGUCCGCUGUGAAAUCUCGAGGCUCAACUUCGAGCUGUCGGUGGAAACUGUCUGGCUAGAGUCCGGAAGAGGAGAAUGGAAUUCCUGGUGUAGCGGUGAAAUGCGCAGAUAUCAGGAGGAACACCAAUUGCGAAGGCAGCUCGCUGGGACGUUACUGACGCUGAGACGCGAAAGCGUGGGGAGCAAACAGG
rnacentral:rRNA from 1 species